UCUGGUUGAUCCUUCCUGUAGUCAUACGCUUGUCUCAAAGAUUAAGCCAUGCAUGUGUAAGUAUGAACAAAUUCAGACUGUGAAACUGCGAAUGACUCAUUAAAUCAUUUAUAGUUUGUUUGAUGGUAUCUACUACUCGGAUAACCGUAGUAAUUCUAGAGCUAAUACGUCCAACAAACCCCAACUACUAGAAGGAAUGCAUUUAUUAGAUAAAAGGUCGACGCGGGCUCUACCCGUUACAGCGAUGAUUCAUGAUAACUCGACGGAUCGCACGGCCAUCGUAUCGGUGGUGCAUCAUUAAAAUUUCUACCCUAUCAAAUUUCGAUGGUAGGAUAGUGGCCUACCAUGGUGGUGACGGGUGAUGGAGAGUUAGGGUUCGAUUUCGGAGAGAGAGCCUGAGAAACGGUUACCACAUCCAAGGAAGGCAGCAAGUGCGCAAAUUACCCAAUCCUGACACGGGGAGAUAGUAAGAAUAAAUAACAAUAUCGGGCUCAAUGAGUCAUGUAAUUUGAAUGAGUACAAUCUAAAUCUCUUAACGAGGAUCUAUUGGAGGGCAAGUAUUGUGCCAGCAGCCGCGGUAAUUCCAACUCCAAUACCAUAUGUUUAAGUUGUUGCAGUUAAAAAGCUCAUAGUUGGACUUUGGGAUGGGCCUGCCGGUCCGCGUAUGGUGUGCACCGGUCGGCUCGUCCCUUCUGUCGGCGAUGCACUUCUGGCCUUAACUGGUCGGGUCAUGCCUCCGGCGCUGUUACUUUGAAGAAAUUAGAGUGCUCAAAGAAAGCCUACGCUCUGUAUAUAUUAGUAUGGGAUAACAUUAUAGGAUUUCGGUCCUAUUACAUUGGCCUUUGGGAUCGGAGUAAUGAUUAACAGGGACAGUCGGGGGCAUUUGUAUUUCAUAGUCAGAGGUGAAAUUCUUGUAUUCAUGAAAGACGAAUAACUGCGAGGGUGGCCCAGUCUUCUGGAAGGGAGCGCCAGAGAGGGUUAGAGCCCCGUUGUGCCCAAACCCAAUCGCACCACGAGUCCCUGUCUAUGAGUCAGGUUGUUUGGGAAUGCAGUCCAAAUCAGGCGGUGAAUUCCAUCCAAGGCUAAAUACAAGCGAAAUACCGAUACCAAAAAAGUACCGCGAAGGAAAGAUGAAAAGAACUUAGAAAAGAGAGUCAAAGAGUGCUUGAAAUGGUCGGGACGGAAGCAGAUGGGGGCCGACGAUGUGCCCCGGUUGGAUAUAGAACGGCGACUAACCCUUCCACCAAUCAACUCGGGGUGUAUUGUAAGUGGCAGAGUGGCCCUGUUGCCACGAUCCACUGAGAUUCAUCCCUUUGUUGCUCCAGUUCGUCCCUCCCCACCCAAUCCAAUCAUUUUUCCAUCCAUCUCCAAAGGAGGUUUGUGCAUUCGUCCUUGGAAAAUCCCACAAAGUGUUGUGAGUUCACCUCACCCGAGUUAGCCUCUUAUUUUUAAAGUAUCGCACGCGUUCUAUUCAAAACAGUUAAGUAUAUUAUAUGAAGUGGCCUUUCGUACAAAACAACAGCAUCAUAACUAGAGGUUUUCAGCGAUGCGGAGUGAGGCUUAAGUGCUCAGCGACACGCCGAGAACAACGUCGGUGCGCGGAGCCAUGUCAGAAUUAGAGGAUUUUUCGACCGUCGAGUGCAAUGCUAGAGGCACGUCUCAUGAAAAACGCUGACGAACAUAUAAUGGCCUACCAUGGUGGUGUCUAUGUCAAGUUGGAUAACCGUGCACCGGCACCAUCGCUCCUAAAUCACCAU
rnacentral:rRNA from 1 species